GUUGUUGGAGACUGCCUUCUUCCCAAAACCUGGGUGAACUACUAUGUUUAUUAUAAAUUAUUAUUAUUACACAGAUAAGGUUUGCUCAACUGUAGCUUGGAACAUUAUUCUCAAAUUCAAGAGAAUCUUUUUCAUAUCUUGCACUCUUUCGUGUUUGACUUUUUACUCCCUACAAUGCCAUGUAAGAGCACAAAGUUGGGACUGCUAAAAGGGUUUUUGUUACAGUGUUCUUCUUCCUAGUUUCAAGUGGACUUUUAUGCUUUUUUUUUUUUUUAAAUGACAAAGGAAACAAGCAAGGAAACAUGCCAUGCCAACUGUGGCCUCUCGCUGUGGUGUUGUAAUAAGUAGAACAGUACAAUAAAGGGUUGUAAGCUACUACAAAAUGCCAUCAUCAACAAAUGUCAGUUUGUACUCUCACAGCAUCUCCUGCAACUUUCAAAGGCCAACCAAACAAAUAUGAGCAUAUUUCUCACAUGGCCACAGACCAAAGUUUUUCACUUCCUGUGUGGAAAUGUAUCUGUGGUAUUGUGAAAGAACGCCAGCAAGACUGUAUCUUAACGCUAUGCACGUAAGUCCGCCAUAGAAGCUGUACCUGCUAAUUACUAUAGCUAUUAGAUAUUGCCUUUUCUUGUUUUUGUGACCUUAAAGCUGUUGUCAUAUUGAGAUAAGGACCAAACAGCAUAUGGCAAUCGAUACUGGGUUUUCAAGAUAUUUGGGCAUCAACUGGACCUUGACUCUAAUAUGCUGCUUCUUCUAUAUUUUCUUGCAAGCAGAAACACACAGGAUCUCACGGACAGCUGGGAGCACAGUGACCCUGAACUGUAGCAAUGACUCAAUUAGCAACUUAACUCAACUGGCGUGGAAAAUGAAUGGGGAUAUUCUGUUCACUAUCAGGCCAGAUGAAACCUUUAACAGCAGCUCAAAGGACUCAAAGGUCAGAUGUGUAACGUCCUCUAAAGCUGAGAGCCUGAAGCUGAACGUGUCCAUGUUAAAGAACCAACUGUAUGCAUUAACCAUAACGAGAGCCCAGAGUUCGCACACGGGAAACUACACUUGUGAAUUCUCUGCAUUAAAGGGAGUCGAGGAACAGAAAUGGGAGCUCGUAAUUACAGAGGAUGCUGAAGCAAGAAAUGCAUUGAAUAUCCCGCUUGCCGUAGUAGUUAUUGUACCUUGUACGUGUUUCCUCAUCUUUCUAAUUACUAUUGUGAUCAUUCUGAGAAAAGUCUGCAAACGACGUUUACGCUCUCGUUCUCCCAAUUCAAUAAUGGAACAGAAAGAAGAUAUUUAUGAAAACUGCCUGGAACUUGAAAAUCGCCAACGACGCAGCCAGAUUCAGGUUCAACCUUACAGAUACAGAUGAUAUGAACCACACAUAGUAAAAGAAGACUCAACUUUUUAUAUCAAAAGAUUUAAACAGCUUUCUUCUUAUAUGUAAUAUAAUAAAAACAAACAUAAAGUGUACUUAAAGCUGCAUUUUUCUUGGCUACAUGAACAUCUGUCAGUUUAUAAAUAAGUCAACAGUUUACACAUUUGUCAUUUCAAUACGGAGAGAUCGUUUGGAAGAACUGAUCGCGAAUAUUUACUGAGAUAGAGAAAUGGAUCAAUGUGUCUGCUGGUUGAACUCUGGUCCCAUCGGUGAUCGGAUUUAAGACAAGACCCCUAAACGCUGGUGGUGGUGAAGAUGAAUAUUAAGGCUUGGAUGGAGCUCUGAGUGACUCGGGUGGGUUGAAAGUGUGAACGACAGACCAUUGAGAUUUAAACUCUCCAGAGUGGAGGCUGAUUGGCUCAAAUAAGGCAGUUCAGUUGUACAGGUGCCCAGCUGUGAGUGGUGUGCGGAUGUACGGCUCCUGAAUGACUGGUUCCAGCUGUUGGAAGACCACCCCUGAGAGGGCCUAGGCCUGGAGAGCUGCCAGUGACAGAGCUUCACUUCCUUUACCUAAAGCCUUAUCAGCUGCUCCUGUGACAGUCGCUGGCUGAGGUUCUCUGUAGUGAGGAAGGGGAGUGGGUAGAGCUGGCAUGGAAGACUUUUCAAGAUAUUGGGGAAUCAACAGGACCCUUUUUCUAAUAUGUUGCAUCGUGUGUAUGUUUUUACAAGCAGAAGGGAACAGCACUUCCUUGAUGGCUGGGAGCACAGUGACCCUGCACUGUAGCAAUAACUCAAUCAGCGACCUCCAACAACUGACAUGGAAAAGGAAUGGGACUCUUCUGUUUAGUUUCAAGGCACAGAAAACCUCAAACAACAGCUCUGUGACUUUAAGCAGUAAUCAGAACAUGUCAGACAGCAGAAUAAUAAGGUCUCAUGCAGCUGCCAUCCUGAAUCUAAGCAUGUCCACCUUAAAAAGCCAACUGUAUGCACUAAUCAUAGAGAGAGCUCAGAAACAUCACGAAGGAAACUACACUUGUGAAACGACCACAGACUCAGGAGUCUUCGAACAGAAAUGGGAGCUCAUAAUUACAGAGAACGCUGAAGCUGAAGGUCCAUUUAAAAUCCAUAUUGCUGCAGCAGUUGUUGUCCCUUCGCUAUGUUUCCUGAUCUUUAUAUUAACUGCUGUGAUCAUUCUCAGAGGAGUCUGCAAACGACGUUCGCAAAGAAUCACCCAGGCUCCUAGAAGACUGCAGGAGCAGAGACAACCCACUUAUGAAAACCUGGAUUUUGAAGGUCGCCAACAAUGUGGACAAAUUCAGGUUCACCCCUAUAAAUACAGGGCUGAGUGAUAUGAAUCGCACAGUAACAUAAGGCCUAACUCUUUUAAAUGAUCAACCACUUUAAACGGCUUUCUCUGUGAAUGUAUUGUAGUGAAGAGCACAGUCUGUACUUGAAGCUGCAUUAUUUAUUUUUUUCUGGCUGAACUGAAGACCAGUCAGAAUGUGACCUCAUCGAUUUGUAGUCAUAAGUUAACAGCUGACAGUAGAUACCUGUCAGUUUUGUACAGGGUGUUUAAUUACUGACGAAAAUAGAUUGCUUGGAGCUCUUAAAUGCACUGUUACUCACACACUGGCUAAUGUUGUUGUUUUAAAUGAAUUCAGAACACACCCUCAUGUUAUCUUAGGCUGCUCUGCUUAGUAAUCUCAAGACUUUACAGCGUUACAGAGAGAACAAGUGCCCAUUCAGUAUGAGUUUAGUGCUGCAGUUUAUCUCUAGUGCAAAAGUAAAACUUGACACAUUUAAACAUGAUAGGGUAGUUGAGGCACUGAUUGGGAUGCUGUCUCACAGUUUAAUGUAGAGAGAAGCAGAUCAAAGUGAAAUUUAUUUAAUUAAUAAAUUAAAUUAACUUUCUAUGCUUUAAUUCUGCAGUUUUUUCCCUCAUCACCAGGUAAAUGCACAAUGCAAUUUCAAAUACAUUUUUUAUGCUGUUGCAACCUCACAGAAGAUCUCCUUUCUGUGCUUUUAAUAAGAUCCGUCUCAAUCCACUGCAUAUAUAAAAAGUAUUAUUUCAUCACAUAUUAUAUCACUUUUAAAGCACACAGUAGCAACAACCCCAUUUCUAAAAAGUUGGGACACUGUGUAAAAUAAAAACAGAAUGCAAGUUUUACCAAAUCUAAUAAACUCAUUUUUUAUUUCUAUCAAACAUAUAAAUCAAAUAUCGAAUGUUUAAACUGAGACAUUUUACUCUUUCAUGAAAAAUAUGAGCUCAUUUUCAAUUUAAUGGCUGCAGCCUGUGUCAAGAAAUCUGGGACAGGGGCAACAAAAGACUACAAGUAAUUAGGUUAAUUGUUAACAGGCCAGUAAAACCAAUCUUUGAAAAAUACGAUGGACUGCUUUCAGAACUGCACAUGAUUAUUUUCAGCUAGCAGGUUGUUAAUGCUAUCCAUCGAGUCUAACAAUCUGCAGUCUAUGAACUAACCUCAGCUAAUGCCAGCUAACAAUGUUAGCUUGGUGGCGAGUGGCCUUUAGUAAUAGUAAUAAAUCACACAGCAAUAGUACAUCGAAGAUACUGAAGUGGCGCAUAACCCAGGUAGCUACCACAACUAAAACAAGGUAGUUGCAGUAGGCUAACAUUAGUUUUUAAAAAAGAACUCACUUCCAGAUGUUUCUUUAAGUUGGAGGUGGAGUCUUUUUACGCUGAGAGCAACUUGGUUUCUGGCAAACAUAGUUUGCAAUGCAUGGUCAGAUUUUGCCCAUCCUUUUCUUCUUUAAAUGUUAAGUGGUGUCGGAAUUUCCAAGUAAGAAAUGCGUUCCUGCCCGUGCACUUCUGGCUCUGUUGUGCUGGCUCUGGGUCCAUUGUGUAACUGAUGCCACCAACAUUAACAGGAGACUUACAUUAAAGCCUCUUAUUUCGCGUUUUGUUUGGGUUUCCAGCAAUGUGUGGAAUUACCAGAAUUAGAGAGGGGAUAGAGAGGGGAUAACCCAACAUAUGAAACAGGAAAAGGCCGCCAUGUAAUCCAUUUAUUUCAAAAAAGUAACUGUAUUCUAAUAAACCCCCUUUAAACAGUAACUGUAACUGAAUACAGUUACUCAUAUUUUGUAUUUUAAAUACGUAACACUGGCACAUGUAUUCCGUUACUCCCCAACACUGCCCUGGACUGUAAAUUAACUCCUAUAUGAGACUUAAAUGGACAACAUUCCUCUUCCAAAAGUCCAGCAACUGGUAUUUUCAGUUUCUAGAUGUUAACACACUGUUCAUAAAAGAAGUGGGGAGGUACACCGUUCUAAACGUGGCCCUGAAACAUGCUGGAACCACAAAUUCAAAUUCAUUUCUUAAAAUGGCACAGUUUACAAGUUUACACGUUUGAUAAACAUUUUCUAAGUAAAUAGAAUAUACAUUUACAUUUGUGAGAUUUGCAAAUCAUUGCAUUUUGUUUCUAUUUACAUUUUGCACAGGAUCCCAACUUUUUUGCAACUGGGGUUAUAGAAGUGACACUUUGAGGCAGUUUUACCCCAAAACUGCGCAUCACCUGCUCCAGAUCAGACUAUGUUUGCAGGAUGAGUUACCAUGGUGAUCUAGCCAGGUUAAAGGAAAGACAAGUUUGUGACACUGCAGACUCUGACUUUAAGCUUUACACAGCUCACUAAAGCAUUAAUCCCACUUUGUACUAUACUCCUUUUGACUGCAUUCUAAAGAGAGUCAAAAAGAUGGUACAGAAGUCCCAUUUAGACUCUGCGUGACUCAGUGGAACAUAUCUCACCUACUUCCCUUGUCUGUGGUCUCUGGUGUGAAGUGGCGUAGAUGCAUAAAAAAAACAACAAAAAAACAACCACAACUCACAAAAGUGUCCUAUUUAGAUCAACAAACGGUUUAACUCCAGACACUGAUGUAGGAGGUAAUUUCCUGAGAAAUUAUUUUUUCCAUCUAAAUAAAAUCUAAAAGAGCAAACAGUGCACUGCUAUUGCACAUAACCUAUUCAGUUCAUCAGCUGGCAAAGUGCAUAAACAGAAAGCUUAAAGGUCAUGAAAGAGAAGUACAGUGCUUAAAAAAAUUAUUCAAAAGCAGUAUACAUGAGCCAAGUUUAAACUCCCGGAGGUUGGAGCUGCCCACACUGGCAGUCCACACCUCUAAUUUGAAAAGGGCCUUAAUAAAAAUAAGAACGGAUAAGUCAGAAAGAAGAAAAAACAUCUCCCUCAUCCAUAUUAGGUUAACUGGAGACUAAAAGUUGCCCAAAGGUGUGAGUGUGAAUGGCUUUCUGUCUCUAUGUGCUGACUCUGCAGUAGACAUUCUUGAACCCCUCCCCCCACAGCUCAGCCUGAUUUGGAUAAGGGGUUAACAAGUUGCUCCAGUGUUUUGUUUUGUUUUUCUGAAUAGAUAUCAUUUAAUGUGUAGCACCUAUGCUUGUAGAGACUACAUUGAUCAGGUGUAACAUUAUGACUACCUGCCUAUAUUACGUUUGCCCGUUUUUCAGCUGCAGUGCACUGUGUAUUCUGACACUUUUCCAUGAGUACCAAUAUUACCUUUUUUGGCAAUUUGAGCUACAGUAGCUCAUCUGUUGGACCAGACCACAAGCACCAGCCUUUGGCCUUUAAUGACCCUGUGACUGGUUCACCACUGUUCCUUCCUUAGUCCACUUUUGAUAGAUACUGACCAUUGACUGGGAACAAAGGCUGGGAGCAGGGGUUUCGAGGUGCUCUGAUCCAGUCGCCUAGUUUGCCCUUGUGACACUUGCUCAGAGCCUUACGCUUGCCCUUUUUUCCUGCUUUGAACACAUGUAAUUUGAAGACAAAAUGUUCACUUGCUCCCUAAUAUAUCCCACCCAGUAAGAGGUGCCAUGCUGAAGAGAUAAUCAGUGUUAUUUCCUCACCUGUUAGUGGUCAUAAUGUUAUACCAGAUCGGUGUAGGUACAUUACAAUCAAAACCAUAACUUUUGAAAAAUGUGAAUGACUUUAUUUUGUACAGGUUACCUCUUUUGCAAGCACAACUGUGUAUAUAGAAAAAUGGAAUGUGAGUGUUGUGUGUAUAAAACAACGAAAUAAAAGAAAAUAACAAAAAAAAAAAGAAAAUUCAUUUAAAAUCAUAAUAACACAAGGGGGAAAAGUCACUUACUCAGUGCCUUUGGCCUCUGCUGUGCCUCUGACUCAGUCCUCAUGCCAGAACCAAUCAAUGUCGAGUUCCUGUAGAGUCUUUGCCAAGUAAAAGCGCCCAAGAAUGUCACCAUUGAUUUGUGACAAUUUUUCUGGUCUUGUUUUCAAGGGAAAAAAAUGAUAAUAAUGAGGCCCAGACACAGAGCGUAUGAAACAUGGAAACAAAUUAAACCUAUUUUGUAACCCUUAAUAUAGACAAUUGUGUAUGGUAUGCUCAUUGUGAU
ensembl:lncRNA